rnacentral:sRNA from 1 species
CCAAAGAUGUGAGCCACCAUACCUGGCCUGACUUUUUCUUAUGAAUAUUUUCCAAUACUUUUUAAUUAAUCAAUUUAAAUUUAAAUAGCCAUAGCUGGCUAGUAGCUCCUCUCUUGCAUAAAAAAGAUCUAAGAUGCAAGAUCCUUCCCAGAGUCACUGUUUGCAAGCUUCAAGUGAGGUUUAAAUCAGUUUCACCACUGUUUAUAUUCAGCCCUCGGAUCCAAGUUCCGAGCUGCCUGUGGGCUGCCAGCUAUUUUUUGCAGCCUAAUUUUUCCAGUGAUGGAUGAAUACAUUGGGUUUGCCUAUCACAGAUGAACAAAUCCAGGAGAUGAAAUCAAACCUGGACAACAUCGACUUCAAGAUGGCAGCUGAGGAAGAGAAACAUUUACGACAUGAUGUGAUGGCUCACGUGCACACAUUUGGCCACUGCUGUCCAAAAGCUGCAGGCAUUAUUCACCUUGGUGCCACUUCUUGCUAUGUUGGAGACAAUACUGACUUGAUUAUUCUUAGAAAUGCACUUGACCUGCUUUUGCCAAAGCUUGCCAGAGUGAUCUCUCGGCUUGCCGACUUUGCUAAGGAACGAGCCAGUCUACCCACAUUAGGUUUCACACAUUUCCAGCCUGCACAGCUGACCACAGUUGGGAAACGUUGCUGUCUUUGGAUUCAG